GACGAACGCUGGCGGCGUGCUUAACACAUGCAAGUCGAACGGAAAGGCCCUGCUUUUGUGGGGUGUUCGAGUGGCGAACGUGUGUGUAACACGUGAGUAACCUGCCCUUGACUUUGGGAUAACUUCAGGAAGCUGGGGCUAAUACCGGAUAGGAGCUCCUGCUGCAUGGUGGGGGUUGGAAAGUUUCGGCGGUUGGGGAUGGACUCGCGGCUUAUCAGCUUGUUGGUGGGGUAGUGGCUUACCAAGGCUUUGACGGGUAGCCGGCCUGAGGGGCUGACCGGCACCAUUGGAUGCGGGUGGCGGCCCGAACGCCUUCGGGAGGCAGAAGUGGGGAGUCGUGCGCAAUGAGCCGGUGCAUGAUGCAGCAACUGCGCGUGCUGGAUGACGGCGUGCGGGUUGUAGUACGGUUUCGCCUGUGGCGGAGCGUAAGUGUCGUUAUUGGCAAAAGGAGCACCGGCUAACUACGU
rnacentral:rRNA from 1 species